rnacentral:rRNA from 1 species
GACGAACGCUGGCGGCGUGCUUAACACAUGCGAGUCGAACGGAAAGGCCCUGCUUUUGUGGGGUGCUCGAGUGGCGAACGGGUGAGUAACACGUGAGUAACCUGCCCUUGACUUUGGGAUAACUUCAGGAAACUGGGGCUAAUACCGGAUAGGAGCUCCUGCUGCAUGGUGGGGGUUGGAAAGUUUCGGCGGUUGAGGAUGGACUCGCGGGUUAUCAGCUUGUUGGUGGGGUAGUGGCUUACCAAGGCUUUGACGGGUAGCCGGCCUGAGAGGGUGACCGGCCACAUUGGGACUGAGAUAGGGCGCAGACUCCUACGGGAGGCAGCAGUGGGGAAUAUUGCACAAUGGGCGGAAGCCUGAUGCAGCAACGCCGCGUGCGGGAUGACGGCCUUCGGGUUGUAAACCGCUUUCGACUGUGACGAAGCGUGAGUGACGGUAGUGGGUAAAGAAGCACCGGCUAACUACGUG